CUCUCUCCUAUCUACCUACAUUAUAUACACUACACACACUCACUCAAUCUUUAGAAUAAUAAUUUACUGUACUUACUCAUUAUAUUUUCAGAUUGUGCAAAGGACCAUUGAAAUGCUGAUUUCUGAGCAACCCAUGUCUUCUAAUGUUAUUUGCAAUGGUUAUGAUAAGGCAAGUUUUCUUUCUUUCGUUCUUUACUUAUUAUCGUGCUUACUAUGUUUUUUUUUUUGGGUUUGUUUCCUCAAAACUUUCAAUCAGAAGGUAAUUACUAUUUGCGACCAGUGGUUUUAUAGCGGGGUAAAUCGCUGGUUAGGGAGUUUUGGUAAAAGUACUGGUGUCCAGACUUGUACUAGAGAGCUGCCAGUCAAACCCAAGACAGUCACUUUGGGACUAAGUGCCUAACCACUCGGCCAACCCCCAACCCCACCACUCGGACAACCCCACUGGGUUAUUGUACUUACUAUGUUGCUAUCAACCUUUUUUGGCAAAUGGGGUUGGCGGUUUUUUAUAAUGUUUACAGUAGGUAUCCUCAUUUGUUUAUUUACAGAGUAAUCAUUCAACCCCAAUUAUGGAACUUCUAUGCUCUCCAGCUUGGUGUCUUCUUUUACAAAGGGUUGGGGAUAAUGUCAUGCUUUAUCUUUUAAAGUACACAUCAAUAUUUUUGCCAGUUCCUUGUAAGAAGCAUUAUCAAGUAUCAGGUCCUCCUAUAAGUGAUUUAUGCCUCGAUUUGUCCAGCCAAACAUUGGAGUCUCAGGAUCAACCUGCUUCACAUUAUAAAUGUGGUAAACAUAAAACAUGUGUUGGUUGCAUCAAAAUUCCUUUAUAUAGGACUUCAGAAAUAUAAUGUUACUACACACACAUCACCAUAAGUACCAUCUAUUUUUUCAAAAUGCUUUGUUAAUAUUUUAGCCUUACGUGUAAAAUGAAGUUUAUUGAAAUAUCCAGUGCAGAACUAAUGGUUGGUGAAUACAAAUUAUAUUAAAUUUAAAUAAUAUAGUUAAUGUGACCAUGUUCACAUUAGAACACUCUAAUACAAUCGGAUAAUUAUACUCAGCCACAUCAAUUUUACAAUUUAAAUAAAUAAUAAAUAGUCUUUGAUACGGGAUAAAAUGUAACUGUCGUAGUCUUUGAUACUCUAAUCCUCUGCUUGGUAGCCUCUUUCUGACUUUAGGCCUGUUUCUUUCUUGGUCUUUUCUUACCUGACCUGUUCCCAUCACUUUGUGGACGUUCAUUUCUAAUUGAUCUUUCCCUUUUCUUGUUGUCCUUAAUUCUUUUUGCUUUUGUGGUUAUUGUAUUGCCAUUAGAUUGUUCAGUCAUUAUAUAACAUCUCAUUUCUUAAAGAUUGAUGGGAGUCCAAAUGGUGAUUUUGUCCCAACUUUUCUCGGGAUCCAACAAGAAGAGGGCUUUAGUUGACAGUGCUAACUCAAUGUUAGAAAUACAGAAAUUCAGUAGUUCUUCUGGUUUUGAUGAUCCAUCAACUUCAUUAGACUGUGUUGGCUCCAAUGUUAGGCUUUGUUCAAGAUCAUUUAGUUGGCUUCAUGGAAACAAGUGUUCUCGAACGAGUUUAUUGGAAGAAGUUACACCAAUUAUUGGAACUGUUACCAAUAAUACUGAGGGGACUCAAAUGAGGAACUUCAAGAAAGCUCAAAUCAGAUAGCAGCAAAGUCUAGAAAGUGUUUAAGGCCAUUUAGUUGGCUGCAUUACAGAAAGCGAAGGCAUUUAAAUUUUGAAGAAACCAGUCUCUUCUGCAACAACUCUUACAGAAAAAGAUAGCGUAUCUGGGAGGCUCCAGGAUGAUUUGAAUUCUUGCUUAAAUAGUUGUGAAAAGGUGAUUCCCCACAAAGGAUCUUUCAGUCAAGUUCAACUUUGGUUUGAUAUGUUGGAGAGGUUCCAUUCUGCCAAUUAGCUCUAGCUCAAUGGCACUUCCUUUUCCCACAAUAAUGGUUGGAGGAUGCCUUGGUUUUCAGUAUCACAAGCUCCUAAGCCCCUGGUAGUCGCCAAAGGGGCUUAUAUUAACCUUAAAUCCAUGUUUUAUGACAUGGAAUGUUCUUCAUCAAUGUUGUCAGGAAAACGUAUCCUCUAGUUCAAUUUUAAAUGUACAUGUAGCUAAUUUGUGCUCUCUCCAUUAUAAAAUUGCCUUUCAUUUCCAUUGUUUUCACCUCACUUGAUAGACUGAAUGAUCAGCAACUAAUGGUCCUUUGGUUGUCAAUACCCCUUGUGUUUUUUUUUUUUUUUUUUUUUUUUUUUUUUUCUUCUUUUGUUGUGCAAUCAUGCAUUUUAUUUGCCAAAGAAACACAGUUUGACCUUAAAGUUUGUGAUGCUAUGAGCUUCUGCCAUGCUUUUUCUUUGGUGCAAAAGAACACAGUACCUUAAUAAUCUUCAGAUAUACUAAAUUCUCUGAAGCCUAAUAUUGCUGGUGCAAAGUUUCUUAUUGGCAAUAUCUUUGGCUUAUCUGAAAUAAAUGCAACUCAGGAAAUGCCAUGCUGCCAGAGUAGUGGCUUUUCUGUCAACAAAUCAGCAUGCAUGUAGCACUCACUUGUUAAGUUGUUUAAGAGGUCGUACACAGGACAGUGAGGACAGUGUUGCCAACAUUAUUGGAUAAGCAUUGUGCUGUUCCAGAAUUAAAUGAUACUGGAAAAUCUAGCCCAGCUUUAAGUAAUCAAGCGCAAAAAUAUGCAACGGGGGAGAGUGUUGAAAUGCAUAAGGGAUCCAGAAGAUUGGAUGAUGCCGCAUGUGUUUUGAGACAUAAACUUCUGGAAAGCUGGAUCUUUUGGCUCUUUUCAUGUCUAGUAGGCCACUGGUGCAAGCAAACUUCUGUCACUGAAACUGAGCAGGGGAGUCAAGAUCUAUAUUAUUAUAGGAAGUCAGUUUGGGAGAAGCUGAUAAAUAACACCGUCACUUGCUUGAAAGAUCUGGGUUAUCGUGACUUGGAUGAUGUGAACCUUGGUUGUCCUAAUAAAUAUGAGAGCAGUCUAUGCCACUAAGCAUACCAAAUUCUUAACUAAUAUUAGUUCUCAAUUUUAGAAGUUUUGAACUUCUAAAAUAAAAAAGGAUGACAAAGUAUCUCCCAUGCACAACUAGAGAUACUUGGCUAAACUAAACGAAAGCCUUAUGUCCUUAAAAUAUUUAUAGUGCAGUAUUCAUGAGAUAAAAUCUGCAUUUUUAUGUACUUCCCCAUCCA